UACGGAGGGGGCUAGCGUUGUUCGGAAUUACUAGGCGUAAAGCGCACGUAGGCGGCUUUGUAAGUUAGAGGUGAAAGCCCGGGGCUCAACUCCGGAAUUGCCUUUAAAACUGCAUCGCUAGAAUUGUGGAGAGGUAAGUGGAAUUCCGAGUGUAGAGGUGAAAUUCGUAGAUAUUCGGAAGAACACCAGUGGCGAAGGCGACUUACUGGACACAUAUUGACGCUGAGAUGCGAAAGCGUGGGGAGCAAACAGG
rnacentral:rRNA from 1 species